GCUGUGCACAGUGGUGUGUGGCUGUAGUUCCAGCUACUCAGGAGGCAUAGGCAGGAGGAUCACUUGAGUCUGGGAGUUCUGUGCUAUAGUGCCCUAUGCCAAUCAGGUGUUCACACUAAGUUCACUAUCGAUAUGGUGACCUCUCAGGAGCAGGGAACCGCCAACUUGCUGAAGGAGAGGUAAAAGAGCCCAGGUUGGAAACAAAGCAGGCCAAAACUCCUGUGAUGAUCAUUAGUGGGAUCACACCUGAGAAUAAUUACUGCACUCCAGCCUUGGCAACAGAGAUACCCCAUAUCUGAA
rfam:Callithrix jacchus chromosome 10, whole genome shotgun sequence